rfam:Spinacia oleracea cultivar SynViroflay scaffold24998.con0001.1, whole genome shotgun sequence.
AGAGGUCGUAGGAUGAUUUUAAAUUGCAUAGUUGAUAUGAAUAAAUCAAUGAUUAACGUUAAUCAAAUAGUCUUUCGCUCCUAUCUGAUGACCUCA